rnacentral:rRNA from 1 species
GAGACCCCAGAUCAGGUGGGACUACCCGCUGA